CACUUCACUAACAGGGACACUUGCUUAUGAACACAGACUGUUUCUGCUACUCCCUGACAAGAAAAAUGUCUCUGCUGAUACCUGUUCAGAAAAAAAAACACAAGAAAACUGGAUUCUGAUGGCAACAAGCUAUAAAAAGGUAAUCGUGAACACCUGAGGGCCCCAGGGUGUGCAGAUUAUUUAAGCCGGCACUAGUGCAGUUUCGGCGCGCGCUCUUCCCCCUCACUCUUCUCUUUUCUUCGUCGGCAGAGGCGUCCCCCGUCAAGGAUGUGCCGUCGGUCAUUUUGAGUUCUUGUUGUUUUAUUUCUACAUUUCAACACCUUCACUAUACGUUCACUCACCCACACCUAAUACUACUGACUGGACUGAUUUUCACAUGACAUAUUUUGGUUUGUUAUAGUAAAAUUUAUUGUUUAUUCUUUGUUAAAAAUAAAUUACUUUUGUUAAACUUUUA